rnacentral:rRNA from 1 species
CCUACGGGAGGCAGCAGUGAGGAAUAUUGGUCAAUGGGCGAAAGCCUGAACCAGCCAAGUCGCGUGAGGGAAGACUGCCCUAUGGGUUGUAAACCUCUUUUGUCAGGGAGCAACGCCGGUUACGUGUAGCCGGACUGAGAGAACCUGAAGAAAAAGCACCGGCCAACUCCGUGCCAGCAGCCGCGGUAAUACGGAGGAUGCGAGCGUUAUCCGCAUUUAUGGGGUUUAAAGGGUGCGUAGGCGGAAUGCCCAGUCGGCGGUAAAAUCGCGGGGCUCAACCUCGCUCCGCCGUUGAAACUGGCGUGCUUGAGUGGGCGAGAAGUAUGCGGAAUGCGUGGUGUAGCGGUGAAAUGCAUAGAUAUCACGCAGAACUCCGAUUGCGAAGGCAGCAUACCGGCGCCCAACUGACGCUGAGGCACGAAAGCGUGGGUAUCGAACAGGAUUAGAUACCCCAGUAGUC